rnacentral:RNase_P_RNA from 1 species
ACGGAAGAUCGCGCAGUCGCUGCAUAAGUUGUUGUUAUGCAGAGGAAAGUCCGGGCACCGCAGGACAGGAUACCUCAUGCUGAAUGAGGGGCCCGUAAGGGUACGGAAAGUGCAACAGAGAACAGACCGCCCUGCCGUGUUGAUACACGAACGGGGUGAGUGGUGAAAAGGUGAGGUAAGAGCUCACCGUCCCGUAAACAUCCGGGAGCAGGCAAACCCUUUCCGGUGCAAGACCAAGUAGGAGAGAUGCGGUACCUCGCGUACCCGGAGGCUGUCCGUCUCUAUAUCUCUCGGGUGGGUCGCUCAAUGCCAUGCAACCCUUCGGGGAAGUGUGGCCAGAUAGAUGACUGCUUCCGCCGGCGGCAUUGCGUCCGUACGGUGUCAGACAGAACCCGGCUUACAGAUCUUCCGUUCCU